rnacentral:rRNA from 1 species
CACGGGGGGAGCAAGCGUUGUUCGGAAUCACUGGGCGUAAAGGGCGUGUAGGCGGUCAAGUAAGUGGAAUGUGAAACGCCUCGGCUUACCCGAGGACCUGCAUCCCAAACUGCUUGGCUUGAGUAUGGGAGAGGAUGAGGGAAUUCCUGGUGUAGCGGUGAAAUGCGUAGAUAUCAGGAGGAGCACCGGUGGCGAAAGCGGCUGCCUGGCCCAAUACUGACACUCAGGUGCGACAGCGUGGGGAGCAAACAGG